UUAACUAUUAUAUAGUACUCAGACAAUAUGAUUAAACAAGAGUUUUAGGUCCUCUGGCAGGCACUGACCAGCCGAAGCCGGUUGUCUUGCGACGGGCCUGCCAAAGCAACAAUGGUAUGUAAACAAAGGGUGGAGUUAGUGGGCAUGAAGCCCCUAUACUCUUUAAUGAUCCUUCCGCAGGUUCACCUACGGAAA
rnacentral:misc_RNA from 1 species